rnacentral:rRNA from 1 species
UACAGGGGGUGCAAACGUUGCUCGGAAUUAUUGGGCGUAAAGCGCGCGUAGGCGGCUACUUAAGUCGGAUGUGAAAGCCCUUGGCUCAACUGAGGAAGUGCACCCGAAACUGAGUGGCUUGAGUACCAAAGAGGGUCGCGGAAUUCCCGGUGUAGAGGCGAAAUUCGUAGAUAUCGGGAGGAACACCGGUGGCGAAGGCGGCGACCUGGGUGGAUACUGACGCUGAGGCGCGAAAGCGUGGGGAGCAAACAGG